UUGCGCAAGCCGGGAGCGCCUGCCACAAGCGCCGCAGGCGGUUAAGGGAACGCGGUCAGACACCGCGGCUGUGCCCGCAACUGUAGGCGGUUAGGCCGUCGUCCGCUCCCUGUCUUCGGGCAGGGCGCCACUGGAGCGAUCCGGGAAGGCGAGGACGACGGGUCGACUUUUCAGGUCGGCCUUUGCCUGUGACCCGCAAGCCAGGAGACCUGGCCGCCGACGUCGCUCGUC
rnacentral:ncRNA from 2 species